rnacentral:rRNA from 1 species
CCAAUAGCGUCUAUUAAAGUUGUUGCAGUUAAAAAGCUCGUAGUUGAAUUUCGGGAUCAAUAUAUCGGUCGUGCCAUCGGUACGUACUGGUAUCAUUGGUUUCUCCUUUCUGACGAACCAUGAUGUCAUUAAUUUGGUGUUAUGGGAAGUUAGGACUGUUACUUUGAAAAAAUUAGAGUGUUUAAAGCAGGCUUUAGCUUGAAUACAUUAGCAUGGAAUAAUGAAAUAGGACGUUCGAACCUAUUUUGUUGGUUUCUAGGAUCAACGUAAUGAUUAAUAGGGAUAGUUGGGGGCAUUAGUAUUCAAUUGUCAGAGGUGAAAUUCUUGGAUUUAUUGAAGACUAACUACUGCGAAAGCAUUUGCCAAGGAUGUUUUCAUUAAUCAAGAACGAAAGUUAGGGGAUCGAAGACGAUCAGAUACCGUCGUAGUCUUAACCAUAAACUAUGCCGACUAGGGAUCGGAUGAUGUUAAUUUUUUAAUGACUCAUUCGGCGCCUUACG